CCUACGGGUGGCAGCAGUCGGGAAUAUUGCGCAAUGGAGGCAACUCUGACGCAGUGACGCCGCGUGCAGGAAGAAGGUUUUCGGAUUUUAAACUGCUUUAGUCAGGGAAGAAAAAAGACAGUACCUGUAGAAUAAGCUCCGGCUAACUACGUGCGAGCAGCCGCGGUAAUACGUAGGGAGCAAGCGUUCUCCGGAUGUACGGGGUGUAAAGGGAGCGUAGACGUCAGUGCAAGUCUGGAGUGAAAGUCGGGGGCUCAACCCCAGGACUGCUUUGAAAACUGUAUGGCUGGAGUGCAGGAGAGGUAAGUGGAAUUCCUAGUGUAGCGGUGAAAUGCGUAGAUAGUAGGAGGAACACCAGUGGCGAAGGCGGCUUACUGGACUGUAACUGACGUUGAGGCUCGAAAGCGUGGGGAGCAAACAGGAUUAGAUACCCGUGUAGUC
rnacentral:rRNA from 1 species